rnacentral:rRNA from 1 species
AUUGAACGCUGGCGGCAUGCUUUACACAUGCAAGUCGAACGGCAGCACGGGGGCGAACCCUGGUGGCGAGUGGCGAACGGGUGAGUAACACAUCGGAACGUGUCCAGUUGUGGGGGAUAACCCAUCGAAAGGUGGGCUAAUACCGCAUGAGCUGGCAACAGGAAAGCGGGGGACCCGCAAGGGCCUUGUGCGAUUGGAGCGGCCGAUGUCCGAUUAGCUAGUUGGUGGGGUAAAGGCCUACCAAGGCUUCGAUCGGUAGCUGGUCUGAGAGGAUGAUCAGCCACACUGGGACUGACACACGGCCCAGACUCCUACGGGAGGCAGCAGUGGGGAAUUUUGGACAAUGGGGGCAACCCUGAUCCAGCCAUGCCGCGUGAGUGAAGAAGGCCU